GUGGGGAAUAUUGGACAAUGGGCGAAAGCCUGAUCCAGCCAUGCCGCGUGUGUGAAGAAGGUCUUCGGAUUGUAAAGCACUUUAAGUUGGGAGGAAGGGCAGUAAGUUAAUACCUUGCUGUUUUGACGUUACCGUCAGAAUAAGCACCGGCUAACUUCGUGCCAGCAGCCGCGGUAAUACGAAGGGUGCAAGCGUUAAUCGGAAUUACUGGGCGUAAAGCGCGCGUAGGUGGUUUUGUAAGUUGGAGGUGAAAUCCCUGGGCUCAACCUGGGAACUGCCUCCAAAACUGCAUGACUAGAGUACGGUAGAGGGUAGUGGAAUUUCCUGUGUAGCGGUGAAAUGCGUAGAUAUAGGAAGGAACACCAGUGGCGAAGGCGACUACCUGGACUGAUACUGACACUGAGGUGCGAAAGCGUGGGGAGCAAACAGGAUUAGAUACCCCUGUAGUCC
rnacentral:rRNA from 1 species